UACGGGGGGGGCAAGCGUUGUUCGGAAUUACUGGGCGUAAAGGGCUCGUAGGCGGCCAACUAAGUCGGACGUGAAAUCCCCAGGCUCAACCUGGGAACUGCGUCCAAUACUGGAUGGCUUGAAUCCGGGAGAGGGAUGCAGAAUUCCAGGUGUAGCGGUGAAAUGCGUAGAUAUCUGGAGGAAUACCGGUGGCGAAGGCGGCAUCCUGGACCGGCAUUGACGCUGAGGAGCGAAAGCCAGGGGAGCAAAGCGGG
rnacentral:rRNA from 1 species